rnacentral:rRNA from 1 species
ACGCUAAUACCGCAUACGUCCUACGGGAGAAAGCAGGGGACCUUCGGGCCUUGCGCUAUCAGAUGAGCCUAGGUCGGAUUAGCUAGUAGGUGAGGUAAUGGCUCACCUAGGCGACGAUCCGUAACUGGUCUGAGAGGAUGAUCAGUCACACUGGAACUGAGACACGGUCCAGACUCCUACGGGAGGCAGCAGUGGGGAAUAUUGGACAAUGGGCGAAAGCCUGAUCCAGCCAUGCCGCGUGUGUGAAGAAGGUCUUCGGAUUGUAAAGCACUUUAAGUUGGGAGGAAGGGCAGUAAGUUAAUACCUUGCUGUUUUGACGUUACCAACAGAAUAAGCACCGGCUAACUUCGUGCCAGCAGCCGCGGUAAUACGAAGGGUGCAAGCGUUAAUCGGAAUUACUGGGCGUAAAGCGCGCGUAGGUGGUUCAGCAAGUUGGAGGUGAAAUCCCCGGGCUCAACCUGGGAACUGCCUCCAAAACUACUGAGCUAGAGUACGGUAGAGGGUAGUGGAAUUUCCUGUGUAGCGGUGAAAUGCGUAGAUAUAGGAAGGAACACCAGUGGCGAAGGCGACUACCUGGACUGAU